CCUCUCAUCCAAGCCUCCAUUUUGUUUGCAGUCUCUCUGCUCCCUUGGUCUUAUCAUGCAUGUAUACAUCUAUGUCAGUUUGUCUUCUGUGGUCCUGCCAUGUUCCCUGUCCACAUUCCUGAGUUCUGCCUGCAUUUGGAGUUUCGUGUAUCUGAGUUCCUUCAUGCCUGCCAACCUGCACACAGAGACUUGCACAUACCUGUUUGGCUUAAGGACAGAUGAAGCAGAUGGUGGUACUGGCAAGAAAAUCUGCAAAUAAUACAGUUGCCUUCUCUACAGCUGUUUCGUCUUCAUGGAUGAUGUCAGUGAACCCUUGAUGCGACUGCAAAUUAAGAUGGAAGAUGUUCCCCUGACCGACUCUGUCAGGGACACUGGUAGCGUUCCUGAACGGACGGUGGUAGCGGUCCAUCACCAGGCUUAUGAAUGCACCAUCGUCAGGUUGGCUCACCAGCCGGCCGGAGAGAAUCUGGUCUGCGAAUGUAAAUGUCCAACCAUCUCCUCUCCCUCUGCAACUGCUGCCGGAUUGCUUUGGAGCAAGGCACUUGACCCCUUACUUACACUGUGUCUCUGUAACCGCUGGUGCAGCCUGCAGGACUGAUGGCAGUGGAGCUCCCUGGUGUGAAUGAAGCUGUACAGUGGGUCACUGCAAAAACAAUAACACACAAGGAGUAAAAACAUUGUCGUGUGUGUGCGUGUGUGUGUG